CCUACGCGAUGGUUCUCAAGAGAGAAGUGCGAGACUGACGGUUGAUGCCAGGAAAAUAAAAAUACGGGGGGAGGGGGCGUGGAGCCGGCGCAAGGGCUCGCGGACGCGCACCUCCGUGGGCGCGCAGAACUUUUAUGGUGGACUGCUCUUUUUCUACACCUGAGACUUUCUUAUCUGAGGAUAAGGCUAUUCUGUAUCCAUGGUGACAUCAAGGCCUUCAGACCCGGAAUGGAACUACACUACAGCUUUCCUGGGUUUCCAGCAUGUAGACAGUAAAUCAUGGACCUUCUCAGCCUCCAUAAUCA